AGCGGGGCCUGAUGGGCCCUGGCAGCCAGCAAUGGUUCUCUGCACGCCUCUUUGUAGUGUGCACCCAAGUAUUACAAGCCUGGGCCCAAUACAAAUAAAUAAUUAAGUGCAUUUCCUGGGGCAAGAAAACGAAGACUUGGAGCUGUGGGAAGAAUGAAUAACCUGGAUCCUCCCCAGGAUUUCCCUUUUUGCUUCUCCCUGGGAUCCUGGAGAAGACACAAGCGCUCAGAAGGACACAACUGAUUCAGAAGGGACAGUGGCACAGAGCCUUCAUUUGUAGAGAAGAUAAGGACCAAAAUUGGGCCCUUUGGACAUAUGUGAACCUUGGAGUAACAAACGGGCUGUGUAAUGUCAAAAGGUUGGUACUUCCAUUGUCAGACACACCUGUCUGCCCCCAUUAAAUCCACAGCUUUUCUUGGUGAUCCAAGGAUCCAUGUCUUCUGAAGCUACAAAAGUCUCUGUGGACAACCUGCUUCUGGUCUGAGUGGUCCUGGGUUUGCUACAGAAGAAGCAGAAGAGUUGGCUGUUGAGAUGGGUGUUGUGACUCUAGGUCUCAGAGACACAAAAAAGCAGAACUAAAGUUAAAAAUUCCCACUCUUAUUGAUUUCUGAAGGAUUGUGUCCAUCAGGAAGCUUGGAGCCAUGUUAUCCUGCAGCAGAGUCUGUGUUUUCCUUCACAAAACUAGAUGGAUUUUUUCAGAUCUUUCCCCUUUAUAGGAGGAAGAGAAUGGAAAACACAACAAAAAGAGAAAACAUAACCUGUGUAUUCUAGGUAUAAUUCAUUCAUGAUCCAAGAUGUGAUCCUGAACAAGAGUUAGAGAUGGUACCUGGUGAUAAAAAAACUGUUCCUAGGUCUGGAGACUUGCAGACAAAUAGAAAGAUAUUCCUGUUGAUUUGGACAAAGUCCAUGCAGUGAAAAAAAUCUGCUGAUUUGUUCUUAACUUGUGCAAGAAAACCUCAAAAUAUUACAUGGGUUGCCUUGAUUUGUUAAUGAAUUUUUAUAUGGAAAUCUCAGCUCUUCAUGUGUUUCUGUACAACCCAGAUUUUCCAAAAAUCACCCAUUCUUAAAAAGUCUAAGACAACUCCUAUAUUCUGUCUGAAGCACCUCUUAGAAUUGCCUUCAGGUAGCAGAAAACAAUGAAAAAUUCUUUUGAAAUAGAAAAGCUUAGAUUUUUUGAGAUGUGUUUUAAAUGAACUCUCUGUGUCCCACUGAGGUUCAUUCAUUUCUGCUAUCCAGAUUUCUGGAAGCAAAAUUUAAAGCAUGGCAAAGAGUAACACUCUUGUGGAAGAAGUUGUAGUCAGAAAUAUUAUUUGGACAAUUAGUCAAUGAGAAAAACUCUGCCCUGUAAUCACAUCAAGAUGUUGGGUUCAUUUCUCCUUUGGGAACAUCAAGAGUAAGUUCGGUCAAAUCCCUACAAUUUUCCUGGUUUUAAAUAAGUCUCAUCAAGAAGAGAAUGAAGCAUUUAAAACUUUUAGGCAAGUGCUAUGUCACAAUGCAUGCCCAAACUCUUCCUGGUGUCUGUGGAACUGAAAGAGUACAAACUACCCGAAAGGUGUUCUGGAUACCUUCUGGAGAUGUUCCCACAAACAUUAUCCAAACAGGACCUCCCAUGCCAACCUGUGGCUUAUACACAGUCUAAAAUCCUGAAAGCAUUGCUGUAAGUGGCAACCCACUGUGGGGAUUUGAAGAGAAUCUCAGAACACCCCUGGUGGCUCCAGCCCACAUUCUGUAUGCAAGCUCUGGCUAUAUACAAGGUACCAGAACUUCAGCCACAUGCCUUCCUUCCUUGAGUCACCUUGUAAAUAAAGGACCAGGACAGAUCAUACAAUCACUCCUUCCUUACAGCUUGUGGCAACUGGAAGGGUCUGGACUAGCUUGGAUGUGGCUCUGAGCAACCUGGUCCAGAGGAAGGUGUCCCUGCCCAUGGCAGAGGGUGGGAACUGGAUGAUCUUUAAGGUCCCUUCCAACCCAAUCCAUUCUCUAAUUCUCCCUGUGUGUUUCACGUGCUUUGAAGUCACCCUUCCCAAUUCCUUGCACACUCAAGACAAGGCCUUGAUCUCCAUGGGGCAUGUGCAGCGUUUUCCAUGCAAGUUCCUGCUGAGGCCCCUGAUAAGGAAGUGGAACCUACCUGCCUUCCUGAAUGCAGCCAUGACAAAUCAGCUACCAGUCAAGGAGCCCCCUGAAAUUAGACAGCUCAUGACAUCAAGUUUUGUACCAAUAAUUAAUAAGAAACAUGAACUGUGUCCUUACUAUUCGGAGAAGGAAAAUAGGUGGAAUCAAAGAAGCAGAUUAGACAGGAGGAUGGAGGAACAUCUCCCACAACGGAGACUGCAAAGUCAGUCAGAGGUGACCACAAAUCCCUCUGCUUCCAAGUGGGUAAGGAAGACUCUGGGAAACACAGAGGCAAAGCCCAUUCCAGUGUUUUUAUAGAGUAUUGGAGCCUGAAGCAGAUAUUCUCCCACUUUAUCUUCUGGAGACACAGCAACAACCUGAACCGAGUCCCAUCUCUUGUUGUACAGGGAGAAAAAUGCGAGAAAAUAUGUCAUUCCAGAGUGCUGUGGCAGCAUUAAACUACAGCUUCACACCCCAUAUAUUGCCUUUUUAAACCACAAUCUUGCAGAGAGUGUUAAGUGUUACUGAAGAUGCACAAAACUGCAAUUUGUUCUCCAAAAGGUUUAGAGGCUGUUAAAAGAGGAGCCAAGAAGGAAAGGGGAUGUAUCCCAGUCUCCUCUUCUCUGAGAAAAACACUCUGUAAGGUGAUGAUUUUUCUACACUAUCCCACAGACUCUUCUGGGUUUUGUUUCUGAAAUGCUCAGAAAGUUUUUCUGAGCAAAACCACUACCAGAAAUCCUGCCGUCCAUUUUGGAGGAAGUAUGUUGUUUUCAAAACAAUUUGCCACUCACUGUGUCUGUUCUGGCACGACCAAGAGUAGCUUCAUGAUGGCCGAGAUGGCAAACAGGAAAUAUUUGUAAUAAAUCAAAUUUGUUCUGGAAAGUUUAUUUUUUGGAGUUUAUUUGCCCAAAAAGAUUAUAGAGAGAACUUUGUGUCUUUACAGAUGGAGUUCUCCUGUGCUCCAGACUGUUUUCAAUAAGUAUUACAAAUACCCUGGUGUUUUAAAGUAUACAAACUUAUUUCUAUGAACUUCUUUUCCACCCUCUAGUACUUUUCAUGGGCCCUGUUUAUUACAUCCCAAAUAAUGCUACAGCCUUGAAAUCUCUAACCCACAAACCAAUAUUUACAAGCGUUGAUUCGGAGAUUGAUAUUUUCAUGCAUAUUCUAGCACUGAAGGCAGCACACUGAGGAGGGAUAAACCAACUUCAUUAUAAUCUUAUAAUACUUACUGCCUCGAGUUAUGUGCUUUUUACAUUCAGAAGUGAAAAUAAAGCUUGAAAAAAUACCCCAAAACACUGAAAAUUAGGGGAAGAAACAGACGAACGGAGGACAAUUUUAAAUAAGCUAUAAUUAAUUUUUGAAAGCCUUUUCUUACUUUGUCAGGAUUGAAAAGAAGCUUUACCUAUAUGGAAUUACAUAUUUUACACAAAAAGAAAACAUUAAAUUAUUAUAAAAUACAUUUUCCCCAGGAGGUGAUGGUGGUGGGCUGGCUAGCCCUUCUACGGACAGCUCCUGUCUGAUGGCAAAGAAGGGCUCACCUAAAAAUGAACAGCACAUUUCUAAACCUGCCCUCUCAUGGCUCCCAUUUCAGCUUAGUGGCUGCAAUUAGCAAUUAAACAGGAGAAACAAAUGCCUGUAUUUUGUUGCAAGAGGGUUAGUUUAAUUUCUGACCUGGAAAUGACAGCGCAGACACACAAGGAGCAAAAAGUCAUGUAACACCAGGAGGAAAACACACAACAUA